rnacentral:rRNA from 1 species
UACGUAGGGUGCGAGCGUUAAUCGGAAUUACUGGGCGUAAAGCGUGCGCAGGCGGCUCUUUAAGCUUGCUGUGAAAGCCCCGGGCUUAACCUGGGAACUGCAGUGAGGACUGGAUGGCUGGAGUGUGGCAGAGGGGGGUGGAAUUCCACGUGUAGCAAUGAAAUGCGUAGAGAUGUGGAGGAACACCGAUGGCGAAGGCAGCCCCCUGGGCUAACACUGACGCUCAGGCACGAAAGCGUGGGGAGCAAACAGG